UUAAGCGACUAAGCGUACACGGUGGAUGCCCUGGCAGUCAGAGGCGAUGAAGGACGUGCUAAUCUGCGAUAAGCGUCGGUAAGGUGAUAUGAACCGUUAUAACCGGCGAUUUCCGAAUGGGGAAACCCAGUGUGAUUCGUCACACUAUCAUUAACUGAAUCCAUAGGUUAAUGAGGCGAACCGGGGGAACUGAAACAUCUAAGUACCCCGAGGAAAAGAAAUCAACCGAGAUUCCCCCAGUAGCGGCGAGCGAACGGGGAGCAGCCCAGAGCCUGAAUCAGUGUGUGUGUUAGUGGAAGCGUCUGGAAAGGCGCGCGAUACAGGGUGACAGCCCCGUACACAAAAAUGCACAUACUGUGAGCUCGAUGAGUAGGGCGGGACACGUGGUAUCCUGUCUGAAUAUGGGGGGACCAUCCUCCAAGGCUAAAUACUCCUGACUGACCGAUAGUGAACCAGUACCGUGAGGGAAAGGCGAAAAGAACCCCGGCGAGGGGAGUGAAAAAGAACCUGAAACCGUGUACGUACAAGCAGUGGGAGCACAGAGCAAUCUGUGUGACUGCGUACCUUUUGUAUAAUGGGUCAGCGACUUAUAUUCUGUAGCAAGGUUAACCGAAUAGGGGAGCCGAAGGGAAACCGAGUCUUAACUGGGCGUUAAGUUGCAGGGUAUAGACCCGAAACCCGGUGAUCUAGCCAUGGGCAGGUUGAAGGUUGGGUAACACUAACUGGAGGACCGAACCGACUAAUGUUGAAAAAUUAGCGGAUGACUUGUGGCUGGGGGUGAAAGGCCAAUCAAACCGGGAGAUAGCUGGUUCUCCCCGAAAGCUAUUUAGGUAGCGCCUCGUGAAUUCAUCUCCGGGGGUAGAGCACUGUUUCAGCAAGGGGGUCAUCCCGACUUACCAACCCGAUGCAAACUGCGAAUACCGGAGAAUGUUAUCACGGGAGACACACGGCGGGUGCUAACGUCCGUCGUGAAGAGGGAAACAACCCAGACCGCCAGCUAAGGUCCCAAAGUCAUGGUUAAGUGGGAAACGAUGUGGGAAGGCCCAGACAGCCAGGAUGUUGGCUUAGAAGCAGCCAUCAUUUAAAGAAAGCGUAAUAGCUCACUGGUCGAGUCGGCCUGCGCGGAAGAUGUAACGGGGCUAAACCAUGCACCGAAGCUGCGGCAGCGACGCUGAUGCGUUGUUGGGUAGGGGAGCGUUCUGUAAGCCUGCGAAGGUGUGCUGUGAGGCAUGCUGGAGGUAUCAGAAGUGCGAAUGCUGACAUAAGUAACGAUAAAGCGGGUGAAAAGCCCGCUCGCCGGAAGACCAAGGGUUCCUGUCCAACGUUAAUCGGGGCAGGGUGAGUCGACCCCUAAGGCGAGGCCGAAAGGCGUAGUCGAUGGGAAACAGGUUAAUAUUCCUGUACUUGGUGUUACUGCGAAGGGGGGACGGAGAAGGCUAUGUUGGCCGGGCGACGGUUGUCCCGGUUUAAGCGUGUAGGCUGGUUUUCCAGGCAAAUCCGGAAAAUCAAGGCUGAGGCGUGAUGACGAGGCACUACGGUGCUGAAGCAACAAAUGCCCUGCUUCCAGGAAAAGCCUCUAAGCAUCAGGUAACAUCAAAUCGUACCCCAAACCGACACAGGUGGUCAGGUAGAGAAUACCAAGGCGCUUGAGAGAACUCGGGUGAAGGAACUAGGCAAAAUGGUGCCGUAACUUCGGGAGAAGGCACGCUGAUAUGUAGGUGAAGUCCCUCGCGGAUGGAGCUGAAAUCAGUCGAAGAUACCAGCUGGCUGCAACUGUUUAUUAAAAACACAGCACUGUGCAAACACGAAAGUGGACGUAUACGGUGUGACGCCUGCCCGGUGCCGGAAGGUUAAUUGAUGGGGUUAGCGCAAGCGAAGCUCUUGAUCGAAGCCCCGGUAAACGGCGGCCGUAACUAUAACGGUCCUAAGGUAGCGAAAUUCCUUGUCGGGUAAGUUCCGACCUGCACGAAUGGCGUAAUGAUGGCCAGGCUGUCUCCACCCGAGACUCAGUGAAAUUGAACUCGCUGUGAAGAUGCAGUGUACCCGCGGCAAGACGGAAAGACCCCGUGAACCUUUACUAUAGCUUGACACUGAACAUUGAGCCUUGAUGUGUAGGAUAGGUGGGAGGCUUUGAAGUGUGGACGCCAGUCUGCAUGGAGCCGACCUUGAAAUACCACCCUUUAAUGUUUGAUGUUCUAACGUUGACCCGUAAUCCGGGUUGCGGACAGUGUCUGGUGGGUAGUUUGACUGGGGCGGUCUCCUCCUAAAGAGUAACGGAGGAGCACGAAGGUUGGCUAAUCCUGGUCGGACAUCAGGAGGUUAGUGCAAUGGCAUAAGCCAGCUUGACUGCGAGCGUGACGGCGCGAGCAGGUGCGAAAGCAGGUCAUAGUGAUCCGGUGGUUCUGAAUGGAAGGGCCAUCGCUCAACGGAUAAAAGGUACUCCGGGGAUAACAGGCUGAUACCGCCCAAGAGUUCAUAUCGACGGCGGUGUUUGGCACCUCGAUGUCGGCUCAUCACAUCCUGGGGCUGAAGUAGGUCCCAAGGGUAUGGCUGUUCGCCAUUUAAAGUGGUACGCGAGCUGGGUUUAGAACGUCGUGAGACAGUUCGGUCCCUAUCUGCCGUGGGCGCUGGAGAAUUGAGGGGGGCUGCUCCUAGUACGAGAGGACCGGAGUGGACGCAUCACUGGUGUUCGGGUUGUCAUGCCAAUGGCACUGCCCGGUAGCUAAAUGCGGAAGAGAUAAGUGCUGAAAGCAUCUAAGCACGAAACUUGCCCCGAGAUGAGUUCUCCCUGACUCCUUGAGAGUCCUGAAGGAACGUUGAAGACGACGACGUUGAUAGGCCGGGUGUGUAAGCGCAGCGAUGCGUUGAGCUAACCGGUACUAAUGAACCGUGAGGCUUAACCUU
rnacentral:rRNA from 1 species